CGUUAGCUCAGUUGGUAGAGCAGCUGACUCUUAAUCAGCGGGUCGCAGGUUCGAUCCCUGCACGG
rnacentral:tRNA from 1 species